ACACGAUAUAAAGACACUUCAGUGCAUAUGCCCUGGAGAGAACAGGAGGCAGGGCUGCCUCACAACAGGAAUAGCUACUUUCCCCAGCAGUAAACAGCACAUGGAAGCACAGGAAGGAGAGAGCGGACUGCUGGGAGGACCCUGAAUUAUGCAGCAGCAUUGGCAGGACAGACACAGCACCAGUGACAGCAAGUGACGGAAACAGAAAACGGGAUGUCAGGUUUAAAAAGACAUUAUUGUCCCAUGUUGGCGACUAGAUUGCCAACCUCUCCAUUCCCCCAGGCUCACCUUGUUCCCAAGCUCAGAGGCAGCAGGCUUCAGAAAGGCAGAGCCCAGCAGUGUGCUGGCCCAAAGCUGGGGGAAGGGCUGUGGCCAUCUUGGGUUCUCUUUUGCAGCCCCACCUCUACCUGGGAGUCUUAGUGGUUCCUAUAGCUACCGUGUGUAUUAGUCCGAACUUAGGGGUGAAGGUAGAUACUUCUCUUGCUUGUUACCAAGUGGUUCAUCAUUCUUCGAUUGAUUCAAAGCCCUACUGAUGCUUUAUAGCAUAACUAUGAGAUCAGACAACGGACCAAAUAAUAGUCUGAUCUUUCCAUUUUUGAGUCAUGUGGCAGAAUUUAACUUACUGUGUGUAUCUUAAUUUGUAAUUACUUUUGACAAGUAGAAAAAUGUACAUUUUCUAUUUAGCCUGCCCCCAGCUAAAAAUCCAACAGUGUCAUAGAUAAUUACAUUUCAUUGCCCAGAAUGGUAAAUAGAUAGAGAUAAUAUAUUUUACUUUUAGAAUUUAAUAUGGAAGUCCUAAAUUUCAUUCAGAGUAAAACACUUAGGUCUGACCAGCCUUAGAAAGCUAGGACAUGAAUUCUGUCUUGUCUUCCUAGUAAGAGAGAAAUCAGCUCAGGGGUCAUCUAAGGUCCCCCUCUCUGCACGGUAAACAGCAGCCUACUCAUGCGAAUCAAAGCGAUGGAAGGAAUCCCAGCUGCUGUUUCUGUUUUAAAACUGUUGUUUUCAGUUCACCACAUCCAGAUCUUGUCUGCAAGGGUGCUUAGAGAGGUAGCCAACCAGGGUGGGGGCCGGGCUGGGGACGGGGGCGGGGGUGGGACACAACUCACCUGCCCAAUCCAGCAGCCAGCAGCACUUACAAAAAGCAGCCAGAAAACCACAACCUGACUCUGCUUUACAGUCUUAUCAGUGUGCCCCACAGAAGGAGUCCUCAAGAGGAAACUGGAUUUAGAAUUGAGCGUCUGUCUGUCUGUCUGUCUGUGUCUUUGUAUAGUUUAGAUGAUGUGUACCUUUAACCACAGAGACUGGUUGAACUUGACUAGUGCAGCAGUAGCCAGAGUUCACAAGGACAUGCCAUACCUCCCUGGCUGCCUUCUGCACAAACCGCUCAUCUGUGACACGGAAGGCCCGGCAGAGAGCCUCAGCAGGAUCAUGGGGAAACAUCUCCUGGCGCACUAAGUUAACGUGUAGGUGAACGGAGGCAUAAAUAGCAGCGUCCACUCCCCCAUGGCCAUCAAACACUGCAAAGUAUGCUUGUUCCUCCUGGUCCUGUCAGUGGAGACACAAAACAGUUAAGGAAUGGCACCCGGCACCAUGCAAGUGAUCUGGUGCCCUGGAGCCAGCCAUCUUCUGUGUUUGUCAUUCAGAUCAUGAGACUCAAUGUUUCCCUUCACUCACAUGCCUGAUCAGCUGCUGCAUACCUGCAGUGCUAGGGCAUCUGUGUUUACACACACAGCCCUGGAACAUAUCAUGCCCAAUUAGUGCAGGCUGGAGCGCCCUCUCUGUGAAACUUGUUAUCUUGUACCAUGGAAACCACCCACAUGCAUUUGCUUCAAAAUCAUAGUUGCGAGGAAGAGGAGGAAAGACGGUGUGAGGAAGAAGUGAGCAAAAGCCGUUCUGCAUGGAGUACUUCUUUCAAAAUACCACAGAACAAUAAAACAUUCCAGCACUGAGCCAAUUGUGUUCAGGUCUAAAAUACCAGAGAUUAAAAACAUACACAGUUCUGUAUGAUAAUGCCUCUUUCACACAUCAUUCUUGGUCACAUUGAAUUCUUACUGCCAUAAAUAGUCUCUAAGCUUGUUAACCAGCCUUGAGCCACGUCAGAUGCCCAGUGUCGUGGUGUGCCUGGCAACUUAGCUUCAGCCUCAGUCUAGGCUUUAGCACCCGUUUCUCAAAGGCCAGCUGCCAGCAUCGCUCUUACCUUCUGCUGUGUCUCGAGUUGCUUGCUUCAUUUUCAGCUCAGGUGCUUAGAUCUGUCUCUGAUGUGUGUGAGUCACUGGGGUUUGAGUGACUCCUGCGCUCCCUGGAGGCAGCAGAGGCUAAGGACUUCAUUUGUGAGUCUUUCCAUUUUUUUCCUUGGGACUCUGGGUUCUGUCAUGCACUCGUAAACAAAUCUUUUCUUAGGGGGCUGUUUUUGUUUGCUUGCUUGCUUUGGGUUUUUCUUUCUCUUUCCUUAAAAUUGACACAGCGUCAUGUAACCCGAGUUGAGCUGAGUUUUGCUAAGGCUGAGGGGCUGCCCUACCUUCACACUUGUGUCAGAGAGAGAGAUGACACAGGCAUAUCUGUGCCUUGGAAAACGUCUCUUUAACAAAAACACCAUAUAUAACUGUCCAGUGAAUAAUGGUAACACUCAAAAAUUAAGAAACCGAUAUCUACUUUCCAGACACUGACACUAGUAUGUCUUAUAUUUUAAGCAAAACAAUUUAUAGUGCCAUUAAAGAUUGACUAAACAGAAUCUGGCUAAAGUUAUACUCAAUUUCAACAACUCAGUGUAAUAUCAGAAACGCCAGCAGUCAGGCAAAGUCGUUGCUGCAUUAGUGGUGGGGUCUCCGCUAACUCGUGCAACAUCUCUAGGCUUCACUCCCAGCACUAUACAAUUUUCUUUUAAAAUAGUGUAGUUUUUAUAGGGAAAAUGUAUAAUGAUGUAUAAUUUGUUUAAAUAAUAAACAUAAAG
rnacentral:lncRNA from 1 species